AUCGCCCCUUCAUCCUCUGCCGUGAUGAUCUCACCCCUUAUGUCUCUGUAGAGAUGGUAUCGCCCAACUUCACCGCUUGAGUAGCGUGGUUUGGAAAGGCUUUGAGAGUUUAUGGAAACUGUCAGGCACUGGAACCUAAUGAGAAAACGAGCUGGAGCCUGGCCAAAAAAAGGAGAGCUUGCUGGUGAUUCAUUGGACCAGACCACACCAGAUUCCCCCACCCCAAUGGGAGAUAAUAAGGCCAUUUAUAUGGGUGUCAGUGGACAGGAAGCAUGACCAUAUCUGGAGUCUGAAGGGCAGACAAUCAAGUCUUCAGAAGAAAAUGUUGGAAGAAACCACACAGACUUUUAUAGCGAUGAAUGCUGUCUGGUGGGAUGCUAUCCCUUUAAACGUCUGCCGACGGGACA